rnacentral:lncRNA from 1 species
UCUCUAAUCCUAACCCUAACUCUCCCUCGCCAUCUAUGGUGGUUUCUCACCACCCCUAGGCCUCUAAUGGCCUCUCUUAUGCUGGGUACCAUCGUCUAUAAGGUCCUCGAGGGACCAGGGUCAGUCCGCUUACACAUUUGGACCUUUUUUGCCUGUUUUAGGCCAUUUUAGUUCGAUUUCGAGUAAGAUCUUCCAAUAUUUCCUUAAACCUAUGGAUUUCUAAGUCUAUGUCUUCAUCUCUGUGUUAUUUUUUUAAAAACCCUAAUUUUGUCCACUGAACUUCUCAGAUCUGUACAAGAUCUAAGAUGGGUUGAACUUAUUU